rnacentral:tRNA from 1 species
GUAUAACUCAAGUGGUAGAGUGUGUGCUUAGCAUGCACGAGGUCCUGGGUUCAAGCCCCAGUAC